GUCUACAGCCAUACCACCCUGAAUGUGCCCAAUCUCAUCUGAUACCAGAAGCUAAGCAGGGGCGGGCCUGGUUAGUACCUGGAUGGGAGAAUGAAUGUGGAAGCUGGUGACAGUCUAGAUG
rnacentral:rRNA from 1 species